rnacentral:tRNA from 1 species
GGGGCUAUAGCUUAGUGGCAGAGUGCUUGCCUGGAAUGUGUGAGGCACUGGGUUCGAUCCUUAGCAGCUCUA